GAUGAAGAACGUAGCGAAAUGCGAUAAGUAAUGUGAAUUGCAGAAUUCAGUGAAUCAUCGAAUCUUUGAACGCACAUUGCGCCCGCCAGUAUUCUGGCGGGCAUGCCUGUUCGAGCGUCAUUUCAACCCUCAAGCCCCCGGGCUUGGUGUUGGGGAUCGGCGUGCCCUCGCGGCGCGCCGUCCCCUAAAUCUAGUGGCGGUCUCGCUGUGGCUUCCUCUGCGUAGUAGCAACACUCGCACUGGAUCGCAGCGCGGCCACGCCGUUAAACCCCCCACUUCUGAAAGUUUGACCUCGGAUCAGGUAGGAAUACCCGCUGAACUUAAGCAUAUCAAUAAGCGGAGGA
rnacentral:misc_RNA from 1 species